rnacentral:rRNA from 1 species
AAUUUUGGACAAUUGGCGCAAGCCUGAUCCAGCCAUGCUGCGUUAGUGAAGAAGUCCUUCGUGUUGUAAAGCUCUUUCGGACGUGAAGAAAUCGCGCAGGCUAAUACCCUUCUCGGCUGACGGUACCGUCAUAAGAAGCACUGGCUCACUACCUGCCGCCAGCCGCGGUAAUACGUAGGGUGCGAGCGUUAAUCGGAAUUACUGGGCGUAAAGGGUGCGCAGGCGGUUGAUUAAGACAGGCGUGAAAGCCCCGGGCUUAACCUGGGAACUGCGCUUGUGACUGGUCAGCUAGAGUACGGCAGAGGGGGGUGGAAUUCCACGUGUAGCAGUGAAAUGCGUAGAGAUGUGGAGGAACACCGAUGGCGAAGGCAGCCCACUGGGCCGAUACUGACGCUCAUGCACGAAAGCGUGGGUAGCAAACAGG